UGGGGAAUUUUGGACAAUGGGCGCAAGCCUGAUCCAGCAAUGCCGCGUGCAGGAUGAAGGCCUUCGGGUUGUAAACUGCUUUUGUACGGAACGAAAAGCCUCUCUCUAAUACAGGGGGGUGAUGACGGUACCGUAAGAAUAAGCACCGGCUAACUACGUGCCAGCAGCCGCGGUAAUACGUAGGGUGCAAGCGUUAAUCGGAAUUACUGGGCGUAAAGCGUGCGCAGGCGGUUUUGUAAGACAGUGGUGAAAUCCCCGGGCUCAACCUGGGAACUGCCAUUGUGACUGCAAGGCUGGAGUGCGGCAGAGGGGGAUGGAAUUCCGCGUGUAGCAGUGAAAUGCGUAGAUAUGCGGAGGAACACCGAUGGCGAAGGCAAUCCCCUGGGCCUGCACUGACGCUCAUGCACGAAAGCGUGGGGAGCAAACAGGAUUAGAUACCCUGGUAGUCCACGCCCUAAACGAUGUCAACUGGUUGUUGGGGAUUUAUUUCUUCAGUAACGAAGCUAACGCGUGAAGUUGACCGCCUGGGGGAGUACGG
rnacentral:rRNA from 1 species